rnacentral:lncRNA from 1 species
GGUGUUCCCAUUGUUUAGUUAUUGCCUUAUGAUUUGAUUUUCUUGUUUCACAAAGAACAGCUUUUAAUUAAAUGUAUUUAAAUAGUAAAAAUAUACAUGUCACUUCACCUGGUUCCAGUUAAAUGUGUUAACAGUGUAUGUGGUUGGUGCUUAAUAAAAACAUGUUCAGUGCAGUAAUAAUUAACUUCAGUUAAACCCUUAAACAUAUAGGGAGUAAACAGAAAUGUUGAGUGGUUACUCAGCAUGGGGUAAGGGAUACAUCAAGUCAUUGGUCAGUAUUGGGUAUCAUCACGUUCUUACCAUCUUUUUUCUGGAGUUUUAAUAGUUGUUUUUUAAAAAAAUCUCUGUUUUAAUAAGCCAUUUUGAUGUUUGAAACUACCUUGGAUAAGCAUAUCAAGACCCUUCAGAGAUUCUAAAACAUGUUCAGCACUUUCUGGUACAAUAUUCUCAAAGAACCAGGAUACAUCUUAUUUCUCAAAAUGAAACAAAAAUGUAUUAGACAUUACCCCUGUGACUUCAAGCCCACAGUCUGUCACUUUGAAGUAUUUGUAUCCUUUUACAAAAGAAAAGCCAAAUGAAGAUCUCCCUGAAAAAAUAUUUUAAUAGAAUAUGUCUUUAUUUCAGUAUCUUAAAUAGUGAAGAUGGAGAAAUAUUCAAUAAUGAAGAGCAUGAAUAUGCAUCCAAAAAAAGGAAAAAGGACCAUUUUAGAAAUGACACAAAUACUCAAAGUUUUUAUCGUGAAAAAUGGAUCUAUGUCCAUAAAGAAAGCACAAAAGAAAGGCAUGGCUAUUGCACCUUGGGAGAAGCCUUUAAUCGGUUAGACUUCUCAAGUGCAAUUCAAGAUACCCGAAGGUUCAAUUAUGUGGUCAAAAUGAUGAUUAUUCCCCACCUUCUAAGAGACAAAGACCAACGAGCCACCACAGCCACCAGUCCCAGAACCCGCCAAUGCUGGGGAACGGAAAAUGAGGGAGUUCAACUCUGGUAA